GAAUGGAAUAACUUAAUGUGGGAACAAAUGGACGUCAAAAAACUAAUUGGCAAAUCACUUAAGCCGGCAAGACCAAUUCGCCGUGGUGUGUCUGAAACUGGUAGGUGCUUGUUAUUUUAUGAUUAUAUAGAAGUAAUUAUAUUAUAAACUCAGCCAUACCUAGAUAUCACGGCAUAGGAAAUGUAUGUUAAGAUUCAGAACUGGACCUCUACUUUACAAUGAUCUCACCUAAAAAAAAAAAAAAAAAAAUACAUAAAGGGAAUCAACACCGUAAAGGAGGAGACUAUAUUUUAAAGAAGAGAAACUACUACAACAAGAGGACAUAGUCUUAAUUUAGAGUGGCAAAGGUUUAAAAAUAUCAGGAAGUAUUACUUUACUGAGAGGGUAGUGGAUGCAUGGAGUAGCCUUCCAUCUGAAGUGGUAAAGGUUAACACAGGAAAGGAGUGUUAAUCAUGCGUGGGAUAGGUAUAAGGCCAGGGACUAAUGAAAGUAUUUAGAAAAUUGGGCGGACUAGAUGGGCAGAAUGGUUCUUAUCUGCCAUCACAUUCUAUGUUUCUAAAAACAUUUUGGAGCUUUUAGGAGAUGGUUGGCAGUUUAAUUUUUACUAUAUCAUGACUUUAGUCUCUGAAGUCAUGUUGAUGGGUGACAGGCUUUAGAAUAUUGUUGGUGUUGCUUACCCGCCUGUACCUGGAGGGGAGUUUGCAUGAUGGUACCAAGGGGCUUGAGCAGCAGUCUACCUAUAUGUACUGCAAGUGUACACUGCAGUACAUAUAGGUAGACUGCUAUAUGUGGGAUAAGCAUUUAAGCUGUAGUUCCACUCAUCACAUAGUUUAAAUAGAUAGCAACGUUCAACUUAUUCACAGCUCUGUUCAUAAUUGUAUGAAGCAAGCAGUAUGCCUCAAUCUCCUGAGCCGCCAAUUGUGCAGGCUAAUGCAAGCUUUACACAGACUUGGCACAGGCUUUCUUCAGAGCAGGGGAAUGGAAGUGUGCUUGACUUGCCCAAUAUGUGAAUGCCACAUGCACAUGUUGGAAGGUCCUGGACGACAAAGGACUCCAUGCAUUGAAUGUUCUGGUGUCUUAGAGCAGACUUUUUGGAGCAAGACACUUCCGUAAGCUUUACAUUUCCAAAGCACACAUGCUUAGUUUUUUCUUUUUAACAUCAUCCGCAGCUUGUGCAUAUUGGAUGUAUUUGAAUCCUUAAUGGAGAGAUUUGCACACUUUAAACCAAACUGGCUUAUUGAAUGUAAUCAAUCGUCCGGUAGGAAUUCAAAUUUAAAUGUAAACACUUUUUAAAGCACAUGUUAAAGACUGUUGUGUUUUUUUUUAUUUUUUUAUUGCCCUCAUCUUAUCCACAGUCAACUGCCGAUGGACUCUAGAGUCAAAGACAGACCAUCAAAAUGGGCCUCAAAGCCCCCGACAAACAACCUACUCCCCAACCCAGAGACUGAUCAAGAC